UACGUAGGGACCGAGCGUUGUCCGGAAUCAUUGGGCGUAAAGAGCGUGUAGGCGGCCACUUAAGUCCUGCGUGAAAUCUUGCGGCUCAACCGCAAGCGGUCGUGGGAAACUGGGUGGCUAGAGUGCGGGAGAGGAGAGUGGAAUUCCUGGUGUAGCGGUGGAAUGCGCAGAUAUCAGGAAGAACACCCGUGGCGAAGGCGGCUCUCUGGAACGCAACUGACGCUGAGACGCGAAAAGCGUGGGGAGCAAACAGG
rnacentral:rRNA from 1 species